rnacentral:rRNA from 1 species
CCUACGGGGGGCAGCAGUGGGGAAUAUUGGACAAUGGGGGGAACCAUGAUCCAGCCAUGCCGCGUGUGUGAAGGAGGCCCUCGGGUUGUAAAGCACUUUCAGUGAGGAAGAACGCCUGGUGGUUAAUACCCAUCAGGAAAGACAUCACUCACAGAAGAAGCACCGGCUAACUCCGUGCCAGCAGCCGCGGUAAUACGGAGGGUGCGAGCGUUAAUCGGAAUUACUGGGCGUAAAGCGCGCGUAGGUGGCUUGAUAAGCCGGUUGUGAAAGCCCCGGGCUCAACCUGGGAACGGCAUCCGGAACUGUCAAGCUAGAGUGCAGGAGAGGAAGGUAGAAUUCCCGGUGUAGCGGUGAAAUGCGUAGAGAUCGGGAGGAAUACCAGUGGCGAAGGCGGCCUUCUGGACUGACACUGACACUGAGGUGCGAAAGCGUGGGUAGCAAACAGGAUUAGAUACCCUAGUAGUC